rnacentral:rRNA from 1 species
UACGUAGGGUGCAAGCGUUGUCCGGAAUUACUGGGCGUAAAGAGCUCGUAGGUGGUUUGUCGCGUUGUUCGUGAAAACUCACAGCUCAACUGUGGGCGUGCGGGCGAUACGGGCAGACUGGAGUACUGCAGGGGAGACUGGAAUUCCUGGUGUAGCGGUGGAAUGCGCAGAUAUCAGGAGGAACACCGGUGGCGAAGGCGGGUCUCUGGGCAGUAACUGACGCUGAGGAGCGAAAGCGUGGGGAGCAAACAGG